rnacentral:lncRNA from 1 species
GGUUGAGUUUAAAUAUCUCAAGGCUGAUCAAAGAUCGAGUUUCAGCAUCUCAAGACUGAUCAAAGAUCGAGUUUCAAUAUAAGUCUUUCAUUAGUAUUAUCUUUACUUAUAUGUGGAAGUACCAACAUUGACAAAUUGGAAUGUUCAUUCAUGUGUAUACUUUAGCAAGAUUACAAUAUCACUGAUAAUACAUAUGGAGAUUAGCUGAGUUCUAUG